rnacentral:lncRNA from 1 species
AAUAUUAAUGCAAUAUUAAUAACAAAAAUGUAAAUGCCUGUAAUAAUCAUUUUAUGCCAUCAGAAGUUCUGUGUUGGGAAUCUAGAGCAAGCUGUUUUUAUCACAAUAAUAUUUGUUGUUAGAAUAAAUGACAAACUGUCUGGUUUCUAAGUGUAAUAAAAAUGAGGGCUUAAGCAUAGAACUUCCUGAGUUCUAUUUGGUUGGCUUCAAAUUUGAUUGGAAUCCCUUUCUUUUAUUUAUGUAAUACUCUUAGAACUCCCAGAAGAGUGUUGAACAGGCAGUAAGAGAAUAUUUGCCAUGUAAAAUUUGCCAAACAGACUUUGGUCGUAUCACUGAUAUUUGGUGCCAACAACCAUGAGCUGGGACUGUGAGCUAGGACUAUCCUUAGUUUUCACUGUGUACUAACUAAACUUUUUAACACCAAUGAGAGAAAACACUACCUUGUUUAGCAUCAUUGUCCUAAAUAUUUUUGUAGUAGCAAAACAGGAUAACUUGUAAAAGGCAAAUCAUAAGGAAAGCACUAGUCAUUAGAGGCAUAUAUGUGAUAUCAGAUUUGUUGAACUGUUGCUUAUGGAGUAUCCUCACACAACCAUGUGACUCUCAGCUUGAUAGUAUUGGAGCAAAUGACGAGUGGAGAACGCAGGUUCACAAAGCUUCAAGCAUCCAUUUUGGGACUUAAAUUAUCUUCAUUCCUGCUUAUAUUUAACUAAUUGUCUAAAAUGUUGACCCAACACAAAACCAUAAGGGAGACUCAUGGAUGAUUAUUUAUUUAUUUGUGUUUGCCAUGCCCUCUCUGCACCAUCAGAUGUUUUACAGAUUAAGAAGACUGGAGGGGAAAGUUCUGCACAAGGGAAAACAAAACUAAGGCUAAGUUUUCUUUCUGUCAUUACUUUCCUCCCUCUCCUUUCCUGCUCCUUUUUUGCCCCAGCCCCUUAUUGCGACUUUGACAAAUGACAAUGCAAGAAGAGAAUUUAUGUUGGGUCUUGGAGAUUAGCACAUUAUCACAAGCAAAACAGAGCCCUCAGCCUCCGCCACUGGGGAGCAAUUGAAAGAGUCUUUGAAUGUGAUGCAUGGGUCAAGACCUAUUUCUGACGAAGUGGGGAUGCUGUUAUGCCAGGAUAAGUCUGUAUGAAAACCCUUGGAGAGCCAGGUGAAGACACUGAGCAUUGGAUGAGGAGUAUUUAGCCAAAAAGCUCAUUCUGGAAGGGAAAGAGGAGCCGGGUAGCUCCCUGAAGACCUCUGUGUUGAAUGAUUUAAGGCUACCUGUAGGAAAUGCCUUCUGCUUUAUUGCUUUUUAGUCUCCCUUCUUUUUGGGGGGGCGGAAAAAGAAGCACAACACAGAUCUUUCCUUCCUUUGACUCACAUUAGUAUUCCGCAGAAUGUUUGAGUAAAACCUCCAUCUCACUACCUUUCCUG